rnacentral:tRNA from 1 species
UCACUCUGUUUCGUGGACACUGAUAGUAUUUUCUUUUAGCUCAUGGAAAAGCUUCUCGGCCACCUUGACAGACUCUAAUUGCUCGUCAAUGUAGGUAGGAUCAAAUAUAUCCUCAGACCUUCUGUUUGCAGGCAGUAAAUAUUUCGCGUCAUCUACGUAGCGAACAAACUCAUGAUCUGGGAAGAAAUGGUAACCGAGAUUUGUGCCAGUCUCUGCCAGUCUCUUCUUGUGUUCUUCGAGUCUCUUUUCCAAGGGAGGAAGUUUUGCGUAACCAGACCAUACCGCAGCUAUAAUUGCUGCUUCGAAUUCAAAAGAGGGCCACUUGAAUUGUGUCAUCAGGACACCAAUAAAUGCCAGGGAGGGAUCUUUAUUCGAGAAAGUACUCUUGAAUAAUCCAUCUACUAAAGAAGUAUGUGUUGCAAUUUUCUUGCUUCCAUCUUCAUUUAUUAUGGAAAUUCCAGUAUCAUCUUCGUUCAAGAAUGGGUAGCGCCAGUGAUAACCAGUUGAGAAUACUAAUAAAUCAACAUCUUGAAUCUCUGUACCAUCUACGAACUUUACUGUCUUGCCGUUUUCGUAAUCAACAGAAGAAAUUCUUGGCUUCACAACGAUACCUUCACUGCAUGCUGCCCUACCUAGCCAUUCGAAUAUUUCUUUCUUCCCGGGAGUUCUAGCCACGAUUACUUCUUUAGCUAGUGGGAAAGCGUACUGUAGAAUGUCAAUACCACUGAGCCCAGUACCAAUAAACACAACCCUCUUAUUCUUAAAAAUAGACUCAUCUCUGAAAGCUUUCGAAUGUGAAAUGGAACCGGGAGCACGCUUGUUCCAUUUUGAUAGACCUUCAAUUCUUGGAAUGUGAGGAAUAGAAUAAUGACCAUUACUAACGACAACCUUGUCAAAUCUUUGUGAGUACCACUUGUCAAUGCCCGUUUUGGUGUCAGUUUCUCUAACAGUAACUAUCCAUUGGUCAAGACCAUCGGUGGAUUUUUUAACAUCAACCACUUCAGAAUUGGUUCUGACGUAUUGUAGGAGGGAAUAUUUUUCAACAAACUUUAAUAGUUGAUCUGUCACUUCGAAAUUAGUAAUAAACGGAUCAAUAGGUCUGUUUUUUUUACUGGAUGACUUUCCUUCUUCGUUGGGGUUCAAUGGAAUAAAACUGUUCCUUAAGUAUCUCCUUGCAACAUUAGAAAACAAACUCUUGUAUAUACCACUACGAUUCCAUUUGAUCGGAGCUUCUACAGAUUCUGAAAUUGGAAUCUUCAAGGGUUCUGCGUAGGGUUGAUUCGAAAAUCCAUCAGGAAUCUUUGUCUUUGGACGCAAGACGGUUGGAUCAUCAUAUCUUUCUGUAUCAAAAAGCUCCUGGGGAAUGACAUCAGUUUCAUCAAAACUGGGAUUCCAAACACCACCAACCUUCUCCGACUGUUCAAACACCACAAUAUCGCCAAAUGCUGGAUCGUCAUUGAUCGAGGUUUGCUCAUCGAGGGAACCAUCACUGUUGUACUUCAAACUGGUAGAUCCACCCUUCUUGGUAUGAAGCAACUCAAAAAGGCCAGUUAACCCAGCAGCACCUGCACCGAUAAUUGCAACUGAAGUACCACUUUUUUCACCUUGAGUCAU